rnacentral:rRNA from 1 species
UACGUAGGGGGCAAGCGUUGUUCGGAUUUACUGGGCGUAAAGGGCGCGUAGGCGGCGUGGUAAGUCACUUGUGAAAUCUCUGAGCUUAACUCAGAACGGUCAAGUGAUACUGCUGUGCUAGAGUGCGGAAGGGGCAAUCGGAAUUCUUGGUGUAGCGGUGAAAUGCGUAGAUAUCAAGAGGAACACCUGAGGUGAAGACGGGUUGCUGGGCCGACACUGACGCUGAUGCGCGAAAGCCAGGGGAGCAAACGGG